UGUAGAGCAAAUUAGGCCAGCCACUGACACUUAGUUUUAUUAUUCUCCUCCAUAUUGUGCAUCAAGCAGUAAGGAAGCAUUAGCAAUAAAAAUGUAGGUGCAAAAUAUCCCAUAAUUUUGGAUUAAUUUAGCUGUCACUGUCAGUCAUAUCAUUCCAAUUCUAUUAUGAAAUUAAACUUUCUUUUACUAAAGCCUGCUUCUGUUAAUGCCAAUGGUUAAACUUUAGGUGGAACACCAUAUUGUGGAAUGACAUGUGCAGAACUAUAUGAAAAACUCCCUCAAGGGUACCGACUGGAAAAGCCUCUCAACUGUGACGAUGAAGUGUACGACCUAAUGAGACAGUGCUGGAAAGAGAAACCAUAUGAAAGACCAUCAUUUGCUCAGAUACUGGUGUCACUGAACAGGAUGUUAGAAGACAGAAAGACCUAUGUGAAUACCACCCUAUACGAGAAAUUUACUUAUGCAGGCAUUGAUUGCUCCGCUGAAGAAGCUGCUUAAGACGGGACAGAUCUUCAUUCAUCAGUGAUUGAUUACAGAAAACCAAACUUCAAUCUGCUGGAGCCCAAAAUGUGAUGUGCUGUGUAGAACUGUGUAUAGCUCUAACUAUAUAUAACACAGCAAUUCCGUUUCACCACAGUGAUGUGUGUGUAUCACACAG